rnacentral:rRNA from 1 species
UACGUAGGGGGCAAGCGUUGUCCGGAUUUAUUGGGCGUAAAGAGCGUGUAGGCGGCUUGGUAGGUCUCGCGUCAAAACCUGAGGCUCAACCUCAGUUCGCGUGGGAAACCACCUAGCUAGAGUCCGGAAGAGGAGAACGGAAUUCCCAGUGUAGCGGUGAAAUGCGCAGAUAUUGGGAAGAACACCAGUGGCGAAGGCGGUUCUCUGGACCGAGACUGACGCUGAGGCGCGAAAGCGUGGGGAGCAAACAGG